UUGUUUUUCCGGUUAUGAACCUGCGGAUGGGAUCAUUACCGAGCUUACAACUCCCAAACCCAAUGUGAACGUUACCAAACUGUUGCCUCGGCGGGAUCUCUGCCCCGGGUGCGUCGCAGCCCCGGACCAAGGCGCCCGCCGGAGGACCAACCAAAACUCUUAUUGUAUACCCCCUCGCGGGUUUUUUACUAUCUGAGCCAUCUCGGCGCCCCUCGUGGGCGUUUCGAAAAUGAAUCAAAACUUUCAACAACGGAUCUCUUGGUUCUGGCAUCGAUGAAGAACGCAGCGAAAUGCGAUAAGUAAUGUGAAUUGCAGAAUUCAGUGAAUCAUCGAAUCUUUGAACGCACAUUGCGCCCGCCAGUAUUCUGGCGGGCAUGCCUGUCCGAGCGUCAUUUCAACCCUCGAACCCCUCCGGGGGGUCGGCGUUGGGGAUCGGCCCUUUACGGGGCCGGCCCCGAAAUACAGUGGCGGUCUCGCCGCAGCCUCUCCUGCGCAGUAGUUUGCACACUCGCAUCGGGAGCGCGGCGCGUCCACAGCCGUUAAACACCCCAAACUUCUGAAAUGUUGACCUCGGAUAAGAUAGGAAUACCCGCUGAACUUAAAGCAUAUA
rnacentral:rRNA from 1 species